AUUAAACUUUAAAGGAUUUUUAACAAAUAGUUUGUAACUAUCACAAAAAAUCUCCUUUCCGUGCGAUCAUACGCACACAAAUUUAGCUCUCCAUCUGAAAUAGUGAGCCCAUUAUUAUUCAAUCGACCGUAGUCGCUCUUUCUUCUCCGCCGUUAAUCCACAGCAGUAUUCAGACUAAGCUAAUUAACCGUUCUCUUUCGGAACUCCGGCGUCCGAGAUGAAUGGUGCGGAUUUUCUUCCACGCAGUCUUCGUCAUCGCGAGCUGUCGAAAUGUAAGCGAACAACAACACAACGCCAGUUGAUCGUUCGGUUUGUAAACACAGCGCUGCUGAAACCAGAACGAUCAACAAUCCCGGAGAUUCACGCGAGAUGCGCAAGGUUGUUGACUUGCGGCUUUCAAGAAGGCAUGACUCAACGCUGAAUGAGUGUCAUUUUGGGGUUUCAGUUUGCGUAGGCCGGUGAUGAAGUUAUUGAAAAGUCUGAACUACUUCCAAUGACCUAACGUCCUAAUUCGUAGGUCAUAGGACUUCUACCAACUUGUCCAGCUGAAUCGAAGGGGAACAAACGCCGGAUCUAAUUACCUCCGAACACGUUGACGUGCUCGCGGAAAGAACGAACCAACGGAUUCUUCCGAUGACAGCGCGCCGAGACAAUCUCCCAUCCGAGAUCUUCUUCUGCUCGCGCGUAGGAAGCUCAUUAGAAUCGCGCUCCGACAAUUGCUGCUGAAGCAGUCAGUGUUGUGGAAAGGUAAACACGGCGCGAUAAUGGGAUUGUUAUUGUUUUUCUUUUCUCGCUGACGAUGCCAGAGGAAGUCCAACCCAGAAGGAGCAUGAGGAGCUUCAAGAGAAGCCGGCGAUAAAUCAACAUCUAACAGUGGUUUGAUCUACGAUCUUCAAGGGGUUCGGCGACACAUAAUUAGGGGAUCCGGGGUUGGUUGUUUUGUUUUAUUCUCGUCGUGUUUGCGGCGUUGCUCAUGAACUGUGACUUCCUGGGUUGGCUGAUUUGUGACCCGCGGGUGACAAGCCGGCUACCAUUGUCGAAGAUUAGCUUUACGAAUUGUUAAUGGGCAAGUCGGGACCUAGAUGUACCACCUGAAAACCGUUAAGUUAGGUGCUGAUCAACCUUCAAUUAGCGCGCUUGAAUGGGUGAUUCCCGAAAACAAUAGGCAGCAAAUUAUACACGGAUCCGAUCAUCAGCUGUCAAUCAGCGAAUUGUGUUGAAACCUCGUAGAGGUCAAGUUCACCAGCUAAAAGCGCUGGUUCAAAAAAGCAAUACCCAUUUCGGCGCUAAGGCCGCACCAAUCAAUUGCAAUUCUUUGCGCGGCCUGACACCUGCGCGACGUCUACACGUGAUUCAGCGCUAGAAAAAUCGCACUUUAAAUUGGACAGGGUUGACCUACUGUCGUGGGAUCCGCUGGACGGAUCCGCACGAUCAAGCUUCAUUUAGCGUGUGCAAUCAGUCAGCCGAAAAGUUGCUAAACGGAGCGCAGGCGAUUUCCAGGGUUGUUAACGAUCAUGUUGCGGUUGUAUUUUUAGGUUACUCCAGAAUUUCUUAAGAACUCUAGUAGAAAUGUCGUUUCAUGCAGAUCUUGAACAGAUGCUUAUUGGGUUAUUUCUAGCUAAGUUUUGCAACGCAAAAGUUGGUAGACCAAAUUGAAAACAUUGAAAUCAACGCUAACAACCCUGGCGCCUAUCAAGGUGCACGGAGAAAAAUCAGUUCACAAAAUCGUGAACAAACGUUCAUGAAAUUUUGAACCACGAUCAAUCAUGUUUAACGCUUUGUUCGUGAUUCAGAAUUUCAAGAACGUUUGUUCACGAUUUUUCUCCGUGUGAUGUUGUGUUCAGAAGUGUAAGAUAACAGCGAACACGCGAUUCGAUUUGGAUGUCUGUGUGUUGUUCGUUAAUCAUGAUAAUUGAAUUUUCUUUUACGAUUACCAGCAGGGGAUCAAAUCAAACAUUUUUUCUCGUUAAUCGCUUGCUGGCAUGCGAAGGCAGCCCAACAAUAUUGUGUUCAUUAGCUUGUUACAAUUAACAUACCAUCUCAAGAUCGUAGAUUUAUUACAGGUGUUUUACCCCUUUAUAAUGAGUCUGUGUUCGG